UACGGAGGGGGCUAGCGUUAUUCGGAAUUAUUGGGCGUAAAGGGCGCGUAGGCGGCCUGGUAAGUCAAAGGUGAAAUCCCUCGGCUCAACUGAGGAACUGCCUUUGAAACUGUCGGGCUUGAGGCCGGGAGGGGGUAGCGGAAUUCCCAGUGUAGCGGUGAAAUGCGUAGAUAUUGGGAGGAACACCGGUGGCGAAGGCGGCUACCUGGACCGGUUCUGACGCUGAUGCGCGAAAGCGUGGGUAGCAAACAGG
rnacentral:rRNA from 1 species